ACUGAUAGGUAUGGGUUGAUCUUACUGUUUGAAAUGGUGAACAGCUUUGAAGUCCAUAUACACGGAGAAAAUUGAAAACUCUAACAUUUUAUUUUUGUGUGUCCUCAAGCUCGGUGAUCGUGCCUCACAAAAUUAAUAACUGUUUUCACGAGAAAAACGUAAUAAAAUAAUAAAUAGUUAUUUGGGAGCGAGAAUGUGUUGCUAUCGAAUCCCACCCAAAACUUCCGGCCGUUGGAUCUGGAGUGAAAUGACGAACAUCAGCGGAAAAAUUGCCAACGGGAUUUUCUGAACUAACAGAACUAAGCAGAUAAUGCGAAUGGCGCGGAACUAGCUCGAGUCCUAGUGGACAGAUAGAAUAAGUUGCAGCGUUCUCACCACCUUCAUACCAUGAUAAAAAAAAUUAAAGUUUUAUAAAUAGCGACGGGAUGACGCUCAUGUCGCGUCAGCAAAAAGCUAUUACAAUAAAAUAUAAAAAAAUAUAUAUAUAUCAUUUAGUUUCACUUUUAAUUUUGUUGUUUUGUUUUCAUAUUUUCAAAACAAAAUGAAAUCAGUUUUUAUGAAAUUCAUUGAAUUUUCCUUCUUUAUCAGCCCAAUGGAUUAUUCCCGUGAUAAGCAC